rnacentral:lncRNA from 1 species
UAAUCUCUGUGCCCAAAGUGGGGCUCAAACUCACGACCCCAAGAUCAAGCAUCGAAUGUUCCACCAAAUGAGCCAGCCAGGAGCCCCACCUUUUGAAUUUUAAGUCAUGGGACUCAACAAAAACUAUUCUCCUUGUGAGUGAAAAAAAAUGUAGCAUAAAAAUCUUUUUCUUUUUUGCUAAACUUGCUCCUCCCCACCCCAAACUGUCACAUGCGGACGGAGUUAGCUGAGGAGAGGUGUCAGGCCAGGAGCGGGGCAAGCUUGCGUUCAUUGGAACAAUUAGGAGAAGGGUGUCACUGGGAAGUGGGGGGCUGCAUGGCCCCCAGGGAGGGCUCAGCCCAAGAAUGAAGAGAGACCCACCCCAAGGAACCUCCCCUACAAUUUCAGACACCAGAGACAGACGAGAUUAGAAACUUCUGGAGAAAGAAAAAGGCAAACAACCAAUCUAAAGGUCUGGGAAUGGGAGGGGCCCUAGACUGCAGCAGAAGCAACAGUCAAAAGACAAUGAACAGAGAAGUCAGACUCUGAGCUAAAAUAUCAGUCAAAAACAAAGGAUUUUGCCCCAUGUUGGGUGUAGAGCUUACUUUAAAAAAAAUUUUUUUUUUUUUUUUGAGGCAAACCCUUUCAGACUUGGGAGGAUCCAGGAAAUGACCUUCCAGUCAUCCUUUCUUGGAGAGUUGUUAGAGGAUGUGCUUCAGCAAAAUUAGGUCGAAAACUAAGAAAGUCAGCCUUGGGAUCCAAGCCAGAGCAGAGGCUCCCAGAAGCCACCUAGAAGCCAGAGGAGCCUCGGUGGCACUGAAGGGACACUCAGGCCUCCUUGGAACAGGGAGGAAGGGACUGCCAUAGGGCUCCACAGCUACACUGAGCAACAGACCACCUGUGACAUCUCAGGAGCUUCUCUGAAUACGCUUCAAAGGACAGGAUUCAUCCCACCCACGAAGUCCAAGGCACUGGCAUGGAGAAAAGACUGUGCUUGUGUUGUUUCCUCUCAUUUUAGACUAAAAACCUCUGAGCUGUUGGCUGGUAGGGAUGAAGAGGUGACCCCACAGACUGAAUUGGGCCUGCCCCACCCUGGGUCCCUGGUCCAUUUCUGUCCCGGUGAUAGACCGUAGCUCAGGUGUCCUUCGGGAAGCUUUCUCUGAUUUUGCCCCCACCCCCUUGCCAGCUGGAACAAGCACCAUCCACCAGGCCUUCGCCAUCAGAGCUGGGACUCAACCUCCAUCACUGCUGCACCCAGCAUGUGAGCAUGUGCUAGGCUUGGGAGCCCAGACAAAGGUAGGGACUCCUCCUGAAGCUCUCCCUGGGGACCCUGGGCUAUGGGCCUCAGGGGCUUUGAGUUGGCAAGCCUGCCUUUUUGGAAGAGGAAAGGGGAAGAGAAAUCCCCUGUGGGGAGUUUGAGUCAGCUGAACUGUCAUAAUGGAAACAGCAGAGCCCUGGGCAUCAGGACACUUCCCCUCUGUGGGCCUCAGAGUCCUCCUCAAGAAACAGAAAUAACAGUGCUGCACAGGGAGUUGGGCUUAAGUGACAGAAGGGUGACAGAGCACUCUGUUAACUUGCAGGUGUGAAGGGAGACACUGCUGCUGACCGCACGGUGACAGCUGGUCAGGGGUUAAGAGACUGCAGCAUCUUGCCUCCAGCAGGGAUGAAUUCUUUCACUUCCCUUAGUUCCAGGUCUGAACUUGGACUGGUUGGAGCUUUCUGGGGACCAUGAAUUCCUCUUGUCUACCAGUCACGAACAUUCUAGUGAGAAUCCUGCUGUCUGUCCAGAGAAGACAUCUUGACUGGAGGGGCAGUGGUUUGGGAGGCUGUCCCUGAAGUGUGGAGAGGAGUCUCAGGUUGAGGAACGCCAGGGUGGCCACCAAGCCUCAUGUGGGGGUGGACGGUGACAGGCUGCAUGGGCGGGAAAUGAAGGGCCACCCGAGGGAACCCUGUGCUCUGAGACUCUUACUCAACGUGUCAGUCUGACACCUCCAGGCACAUCCUGUUCCCAUCUAACCCUUGCGCAAGGUCCGGGCCCAGUGGGAGGAGGCCGGAGGCUCCCCCACGGACGCGGACCCAGCCUCCAGGCCUCGGCUACGUUCGGAAUGACCCCAUCACCUCGCUGGGUGACGAGGAGGACUUUUUCCCUUGCAAAGGCCACCACCCCACGCGUGUGGCGCAGCACUACGCCCGCUCGGGUGGCUGCGUGACGCGGGCAAGCCACUUCGCCUCUGGAGGUCUCAGUGUUCUUGCCUGUGAAGUGGGGUUGCCAACAGCCUUUGCUUCUUGGGGUCGUCAGGGGCCCCGGUAAGCCCGAGGGCGCCCGGGCCGCUCGUGC